rnacentral:misc_RNA from 1 species
GGAAGGAUCAUUAACAAAAAAAAAAAAAAACAAAACAAUAUUUUUGUUUACAACUUGAAAAUAUGUGAGAAGUUAUUACUUUUCAAAAAAAACAUUGAAAAUGAAUUAUAUUAAAAAAAAAAACAACUUAAAUCUCGAAAACUCGAUAUUGGGGAUUACUAGGCUUUGUGUUGGAUGAAGAGCGGAGUGAAGUCCGAUAAGUGAUGUGAAAUACAGACUUUAUGAAUCAUCAAAAUCUUGAAUGCAAAUGGCACUGAUCUAAAAGAUCAGUAAGAAAAAAAGAGAGGGGAUAAAAAAAAACUUAACAUAUAUAAAUGAAGUUAGAAGAAGAAGAAAAUUCUUCUUACUUUGAAAUUGAAAAGUAUUAUAAAAUUUUUUUAUUUUGAGAAAAUUUUGUUUUUUGAUAAACGAAAACAUUUUGAUAAAAAAAAAGGUUUUGGGUUAUUUUGAACGAAAUUUUCUUCACAAAAAAAAAAAAAAGAAAUUAUCCUCCCCCUCUUUAUUUUCUUCAUUACUCGGUGAAUUUAAGCAUAUUAUUAACCGAAGGAAAAGAAAUCAAAAGAGAUUCGAUCAGUAGUGGCGAACGAAGAUCGAAGAGAUCAAAGGUAGAGGGUGGUUCGCUAUACCGCGGGCUUCCGUUGCACCUUUUGAGUAGAGGCUGGUUGCAUCAGCGAGAGACUAAGUGAUGUGGAAACAUCUGCCAAAGAAGGUGAAAGCCCUGUUACGUCUUUUCGUAUUAUUGGUGUGCGGAUCUCCUUUGCUCUUAGAGUCGCGUAGAUUGGGAAUUCUGCGUAAAGUGGGAGGUAAAUUUCUUCCAAAUCUAAAUAUGACACAAAGACCGAUAGCGAAGAAGUACUGCGAAGGAAAGUUGAAAAGAAUUUCGAAAGAAAAGUUAAAAGUACAUGAAACAAUAUCGAGGGAACAAAUAAGUGGAUUUUGAGCCGAGUCCGCCCUGGCGGUUUACUGUCAGGGGUCGGAGGGUAAGAGGGAAGCGGGACAGGGAAGAAGGACGCGCGUCGGUCAGGAAUUCGUUCUGGGAAACGAGCGUAGUCUGAGCCGCUGGACCCGCUUCGAGGAUGAGAUAACUGUUCAACUGGGGCUCUGAAGGCGGUCGCCUGGUUGGUGCGUUUGGUUACAAGUGUCAAAGCUUGUGGCUGGAUGACACUGGCUGGGAGGAGGCAGUCGAUCCACCAAUCCAACAGUUGCUCUUACUAUGGCUUACACUUACUGUCCCGUCUUGAAACACGGAUCAAGGAGUGCAUCAGAGUUAAGAGUGUUUUGGUGUAAAAACCAACAGCGCGUAAUGAAAGUAAAUGGAUACCAGUGGCUGCAGAGGCCAUGCCGUAUCUGCCGGUCCGAAUUUUUUUGAAGGAUCUGAGCGAAAUUAAUUCUGAUACAACCCGAAAGAUGAUGAUCUUUACUUGAGAAGGGCGAAGCCUGAAGAAAUUCAGGUGGAGGUCCGUCGGGCGUUCUAACGUGCAAAUUGAUGCUCAUACUUGAGUAAAGGGGCGAAAUACUCAUCGAAUCAUUUAGUUGCUGGUUUUCUU